UGGGGAAUUUUUCGCAAUGGGCGCAAGCCUGACGAAGCAACGCCGCGUGGAGGAUGAAGGUCUUCGGAUUGUAAACUCCUGUCGACCGGGACGAAUGCACCCGACCUAAUACGUCGAAGUGUUGACGGUACCGGUGGAGGAAGCCACGGCUAACUCUGUGCCAGCAGCCGCGGUAAUACAGAGGUGGCAAGCGUUGUUCGGAAUUACUGGGCGUAAAGGGCGCGUAGGCGGCCUUAUAAGUCUCGUGUGAAAGCCCUCGGCUUAACUGAGGAUCUGCACGGGAUACUGUAAGGCUCGAGUUCGGGAGAGGAAAGCGGAAUUCCGGGUGUAGCGGUGAAAUGCGUAGAUAUCCGGAGGAACACCAGUGGCGAAGGCGGCUUUCUGGACCGACACUGACGCUGAGGCGCGAAAGCUAGGGGAGCAAACGGGAUUAGAUACCCAGGUAGUCCCUGAGCGGGCUGGCAAGGCGCAU
rnacentral:rRNA from 1 species